CGUGACCGCAAAACGCUUGGGGCAGACUUUCACAUAGACCUAAUGUCAUAAAUAUGCACGAAGAUACGUUGGACGUUAAUGCGCCAUACCAUACUACAAAGCAAAUAUUGAUGUUCAAACAUGGAAGCGACGACAGCAUCGCAAUACAGAAUGAGUAAGCUUCACGUGUGUCACCGACGUCGAGCCGAGUAAGUACGCGAUCUUAAAAACCGCGUACUUUAAGUUCGCACGUCUAUCA
rnacentral:misc_RNA from 1 species